rnacentral:lncRNA from 1 species
GAGUUCCAGUCAAAGUCUCACAAAUUUUCUUAGACCCACUUCUAUUGUUCAUUAUGAAAGUUUUAUUUUAUUUUAUUUUAUUUAUUUAUUUUUGAGACAGAGUCUUGCUCUGUUGUCCAGGCUGGAGUGCAGUGGCCCAAUCUCAGCUCACUGCAGGCUCUAACUUCUGGUUUCAAGCAAUUCUCCCGCCUCAGCCUCUGGAGUAGGUGGGAUUAUAGGCAUGUGACACUACACCUGCUUAAUUUUUGUAUUUUUAGUAGAGACAGGGUUUCAGCAUGUUGGUUAGGCUGGUCUCGAACUCCUGACCUCAAGUGAUUUACUCACCUUGGCCUCCCAAAGUGCUGGAAUUAUAGGCCUGAGCCACCGUGCCUGGCCUCUUCUGAAAGUCUGAAAGGCACAGCUAUCCUCAAGAUUCAUCCACACUGUCACCCUGGGAACAGUGCUUUAUUAUUGUGUCCUCUGAAAGAGCUGGACUAACACAUAUGCAGGAUAGGUUAUGAUCUGGUAUGAGGACAGAUUCUCACCCAAAGAAUUUCUUUUUAAGUGCCUGACAUUUCACUAUCCCAGAGGAAUCUUUGUUGGCAGGCAGGGUUUUUGCUGAGGUUGGUUAUAGUUAUGUGCAUGACUGAACACACUCCAUUUUCGUAAGGUCCUUGCAUACUUCCUCAUACCUUUCACCAUGGCACAUGAACUCAGAAACUAGGGAUGGGUGAUUUACUACCUAAAAAUAGGCAAUCAGUGUUUAAUAUGGAGGGACUGAAGGGAAGAAGGAAUAUAAAGAGAGGGAAGAAGGAAUUUGAAAAUAAAUGAUACAUCAAGGAGAUCCUACUUUGGGACUAAACAGUCAUUCUGAUUUAUAAAUUGGAUGACUGAGGCAAGAGGACUGAACCUGUAUGGUCUUGGUUUCAGUUGCUCCUCUCUGAGGCUCAGGUACACAAAGCUGAUCUCCAGGAAGAAGACAAAUUAUUUACAUAAGAAAGCCAGAACUGCAGGGGCAUGGUGGCUCACACCUGUAAUCUCAGCCUUUGGGAGGCCAAGGUGGGUGGAUCACCUGAGUUCUGGAGUUUGAGACCAGCCUGACCAACAUGAAGAAACCCCCAUUUCUAGUAAAAAUACAAAAUUAGUCGGGCAUGGUGGUGCAUUCCUUUAAUUCCAGCUCCUCAGGAGCCUGAGGCAGGAGAAUCGCUUGAAUCUGGGAGGAGGAGGUUGCCGUGAGCUGAGAUCACAUCAUUGCACUGCAGCCUGCGCAACAAGAGUGAAACUCCUUCUCAAACAGAAGAAGAAGAAGAAGAAGAAGAAGAAGAAGAAGAAGAAGAAGAAGAGAGGAGGAGGAGGAAGAGGAGGAGGAGGAAGAGGAGGAGGAGGAGGAGGAGGAGGAGGAGGAGGAGGAGGAGGAGAAGGAGGAGGAGGAGGAGGAGGAAGAAGAAGAAGAAGAAAGCAAGAAAGCCAAGACAUCCUGGGAGGGAGGAGGAGUCCCCCCUUGGUAAACUUCUCCUAAGUAGGGAGCUCUUUUUGGUUGACAGGGUACCUCCUAUUCUCCCAAGGUCUAAUGGCUAAGGUCUGGAGAAAAAACCAAAAAACAAUAACUACCUUUCCUGAGGAAGGGGAGUGUGGAUUGGCGACUCAGGCUAUGACAAACUUCCAAGCUUUCUCUUGAAACCGCAUGGCUUUGGACAGCUUUGGCAUCAUCUGUGGAGCCUGUGGAGAACCAUUUCUUCAUAGGGACACCUCUGUGUGGUUUAACAAGGAGCAAUGGCAGCAAAGCGCGAGGAGGACUGGUCUUCUUUGGGCAGAGUAAUGUAUUUAUUUAUUUAUUUUUGAGGCACAGUCUCACUCGGUCACCCAAGCUGGAAUGCAAUGGUGCGAUCUCAGCUUACUGCAACCUCUGCCUCCCAGGUUCAAGGUAUUCUCAUGCCUCAGCCUCCUCAGUAGCUGGAACUACAGGUGUGUGCCACCACUUCAAGCUAAUUUCUAUUUUUAGUAGACAGGGUUUCCCCAUGUUGGCCAGGCUGGUCUCAAACUCCUGACCUCAGGUAAUCCACUUGCCUUGGCCUUCCAAAGUGCUGUGAUUAUAGGCGUAGGCCACUGCACUGGGCCUGGGCAGAGUAAUUUUUGGAGGUAGAGGUGGGAGAAGAGCUGAGAGAGAGAGGGCUUGGGUUUCAUGGCUGGGUGAUCCCAAACAAUUGUGAUAGCUAGUAGUCUGAGUUUAUGGAGGGCUUCUUACUGAUUCUAUAGAAAAUUUAUUUUUUCACUUUACAGAUAAAUUUGAGUUCCUUUUACAUACAGGGUCUCGGUCUCCUGACCUCAGGUGAUCCACUGGCCUUGGCCUCCCAAAGUGCAAGAAAUACAGGCGUGAGCCACUGUGCCUGGCCUUUUUUAAAAUUUAUUUUUUAGAGGCAAGAUCUUACUCUAUCACCCAGGCUGGAGUGCGGUGGCAAAAUCACAGCUCACUGCAGCCUGGAACUCUUUAGCUCAAGCGAUCCUCCCACCUCAGCUUCCCAAAGUGCUGGGAUUACAGGUGUGAACUAUCACACCCUCCCCGUAACGUGCAUUUUUGAGAGAAUUUAGCCCUAUGAGAAAUUUUCCUUAAAAAAGAAAAACAAACCCUCAAACUUUAUAAAAUAGCUAAAUCAGGGGCUUAGGGAAAUUAUCUAGAUGUUUGUGUUCAGAAUAGAUUUGAAGCCUGAGCUUGGUGGCUCACACCUGUAAUCCCAGCACUUUGGGAGGCUGAGGUGGGCGGGUCACUUGAGGCCAGGAGUUCCAGACCACCCUGGCCAGCACCGUGAAACCCCAUCUUUACACUAAUACAAAGAAUUAGCCAGUUGUGGUGGUGCAUGCCAGUAGUCCCAGCUAGGUGGGAGGCUGAGGUGGAUGGACCCCUUCAGCCUGUGAAGUUGAGGCUUCAGUGAGUGGAGAUGACACCACUGUACUCCAGCCUGUAAGACAAAGUUAGACUGUCAAAAAAAAAAAAAAAAAUUGAGGAGGAAGUGAUUAGAGGUAAUUAGGUUAGGAGACAAUAGUGGAGGAGGGCUGGAAUUAAUCAUUUACUUAUUUUGCAACAUUGACUAAGGUCUUACUACAAGUCAGGCACUGUAUUAGGCAUUCA